AUUUCAUCAUCAUUCCACUUUUAUACAAAUUUUAAAUAAAUGUUUAUUAAACAUUUUUAAGAUUUUGAACUGUUAUGUGUGAAACACAGUUGUGUAGUGUCUCUGAUGCUGUUGGUAAGGUUUAUGUAUUUCUUCACAUUAAAGAAAUUAUUUGAUACUAUUCCAAUUCUACUUGCUAUUACUUCAAAAUAUAGCAAAACAGCCCAAUUGGCAAGUACUAGACAUCGGACCUUUGUUUUGUGUAGCAUUUUCGGACCGAGGACGGUCCCUCAUCAGUGCACAGGUGCAGCGGGUUUCAGAUACAUUAACUAAACAGUUAUCAACAGAGUUGUUUUGCAUUAUUUGGAACAUUCUAAACUUUUGAAUUGUAGUUCCAGAAUCAUUGGACUCCUACAUCAUAUGCACACACAUGAACAGACCAACUCAUUUGCCAUUGGCAACUAAACAUUAAUAUUUCAUAUUAAUGUUUAGUUGUUAAUGGUAAAUGAGUUGGUCUGCGAUAACUGUUUAGUUAAUGUAUCUGAGGUUUGCUGUGCCUGUGUGCUGAUGGGGGACUGUCCUCUGUCUGGGGGUGUUAUACAAAAUAGAGGUCUGAUGUCUAGUACUUGCUAAUUGUGCU
rnacentral:lncRNA from 1 species